UGCCGCGUGAGUGAUGAAGGCCUUAGGGUUGUAAAGCUCUUUCACCCACGACGAUGAUGACGGUAGUGGGAGAAGAAGCCCCGGCUAACUUCGUGCCAGCAGCCGCGGUA
rnacentral:rRNA from 1 species